GAAGAAUGGAGAAGGAGAGUGUAAUUGUUUAUACAACGCUCCUUGAGGUCGAUGAAGUGAUGGAGGAGGCUAGCUUGGAAGCUAAUCGAUACAUUGAAACAAAAACUGAGAAUUAGAAAAUGGAUCUAAUAAUUCAAAUAUCACAAUCAGUUACGAAAUAUCAGUUACGAAACUAAAAAUCAAAUGAAAAAUAUUAGCAAUCAGUUACAAAAUAUCAGUUACAAACAGAGAUCUAAUAAUCAAAUGAAAAAUCAGUUACAAAACUAAAAAUCUGCGACUGGGAAUAUAUUAGCAACAAAUUCGUCAGCUUUAUAGACAUGAACCAGAUCAAAAAAUAUGAACAUCUAAUUAGAAAAAUUCAAAUAAGAAGAUGAAGUAGAUCGAAUUAGUAAUUAGUGAUUCACAAAGAAGAAACACCAAAUCGCAGAAGCACAAUCGGAGGCCAGCAACAACGACAUCGCUUAUGGCGGUGACAAACAUCAGAUCGAGACCAAAGAACCAAGUUACAAAAGCUCAAUCGGAGGCAACAAUGGCUUCGCUGUGGAGAUGAAUGGUAGCGCGAUUGUUAGGGUUUCGUAUUCUCACUCUCAUAUGUUUAAAAGCAUCACUUUCUCUCACUCUCAUCUGCUCUUUUAGUUUUAUUAAUAAAAUAAUAAAAUAAAUGGAGAGAGUGGCGGGUACAACAAAUGCCAAAAUGUAGCGCUUUUAACAUAGACAUUAUGGCAUAAGAGAAAAAUCUUGAAAUAAGGGGAUAAUACGGCGGUUAUAUUAAAUCGCCUUAAUAUUAAUGCCAUUUUAAUCAUAUUUUUUUGUAGUGUGCGCUCUGUUCAUUUAAUGAACAUUACAUGCAUGCCUUCCUUGCCUAGCCUUGUUUCCUUGGUUCCAAGCUCAAUAGUCACGAUAAAAGUAAGAAAAGUAACGUGGCGCUCAUUGUUAAUGAACGCUAGGCUUCCCUUUAAAUUUUAAAGUAGCGCUCCGUUACUUUAAUGAACGCUAGCGUUCAUUCAUUUAAGUUCUCAUUCCAUUCAUUUCCAAAUAAUGCCAAUGCAUGAUGGUAUUAAUCAAUUAAAUGCAUGCAUGCUUUACUUUAAUUAAUAAAACCAAUGUAUUAACAUUUAUUGCAUGCAUUCUUCUAUUGGCUUUAAUUAAUAAUGCAUGCAUUUCAUUCACCUGGCAUUAAUGAUUUAAUGUUUCAUGCAUGCAUGCUUGAAUUUUAAUUAAUAAAGCGAAUGCAUUAACGUUGAAGUUCUUUUUGUUAGAUAAAUAGAUCUAAGUUAUGAACAACAUGGAAAAAUACCUUAAAAUUUUUUGAUACUUGAACAAUCAUGGAAAAUACAUUCUGACAUUUAUUUUAAAAAUAAAUAAAUAACUUGAUGCCUCAUGAUCGAAAAUAAUUCCUUCUGAGUUCAAAAUUGCUUCAGCUAGAAUUCAUACUAAAGCAAUAUCAUCAAAGAAAACACAAAUCCUUAAUGAAAAGUAAAAUCACCAUCUCCAGCAGCAGCGUUGGUAGCCUUGGCAACCUGCUUAACAAGAUCAGCACCAAUGUUCUUAGCCUUAUCCUGAAAUUUGAUACUCUUAGCUACUGUCACACCAUCAUUUGUGAUCCUUGGGUUCCCAUAACUUUUCUCAAUAAUCACAUUACGACCCUAAUUCAACCAACCAAAAAACAACAUUAAAAAAAUAACUAAAUAAAGUAAAUUUUCACACUAAUCAUGUCAAUUUCAUUAUUCAAUCCCAAACAAACUCAAGAAUACCUUGGGUCCCAUGGUAACUUUGACAGCAUCAGCAACCUUAGUGGCACCCUGAAGAAUUGCAGCAGGAGCUCCAACGCCAAAGUUGAUGUCUUUGCUCGUAUAGUUUCUACUUGAAAUAACCCUGCAGCGUAUCUGUUCCAGCAACACAAACAAAAAUGAAGAUUGUAAUUCGUAUAAACGGAAGAAAGAAGAAUGGAGAAGGAGAGUGUAAUUGUUCAUACAACGCUCCUUGAGGUCGAUGAAGUGAUGGAGGAGGCUAGCUUGGAAGCUAAUCGAUACAUUGAAACAAAAAUUGAGAAUCAGAAAAUGGAUCUAAUAAUUCAAAUAUCACAAUCAGUUACGAAAUAUCUGUUACGAAACUAAAAAUCAAAUGAAAAAUAUUAGCAAUCAGUUACAAAAUAUUAGUUACAAAUAGAGAUCUAAUAAUCAAAUGAAAAAUCAGUUGCGAAACUAAAAAUCUGCAAUUGGGAAUAUAUUAGCAACAAAUUCGUCAGCUUUAUAGACAUGAACCAGAUCAAAAAAUAUGAAGAUCUAAUAUUCAAAUAUCAAAUAAGAAGAUGAAGUAGAUCGAAUUAGUAAUUAGUGAUUCACAAAGAAGAAACACCAAAUCGCAGAAGCACAAUCG
rnacentral:lncRNA from 1 species